rnacentral:rRNA from 1 species
CCUACGGGUGGCAGCAGUAGGGAAUCUUUCACAAUGGGCGAAAGCCUGAUGGAGCAACGCCGCGUGCAGGAUGAAGGCCUUCGGGUUGUAAACUGCUUUUAUAAGCGAGAAAUAUGAUGGUAACUUAUGAAUAAGGAUCGGCUAACUACGUGCCAGCAGCCGCGGUCAUACGUAGGAGCCGAGUAUUAUCCGGAGUGACUGGGUGUAAAGAGUUGCGUAGGUGGCAUUAUAAGUAGCUAGUGAAACCUGGUGGCCCAACCAUUCAGACUAUUAGCUAAACUGUUAAGCUCGAGUCCGUUAGGGGUAAGUAGAAUUUCUAGUGUAGGAGUGAAAUCCGUAGAGAUUAGAAGGAACACCAGUAGCGUAGGCAGGUUACUGGAA